ACAGGGGAUGGGAUGGAGCAUUUUUUGCAAAAAAGCUGAUGCUUAGAGAGCUAUUGGCUUAUGUUUUUUUUUGCUUCGUUGCUGUAUUUUUAUACAGUACUGGACCCCACCCACUGAGAUCAGAGAGAAAAGUUGAACGUGCGUCCCUCAGAUUUGAAAGAUUGGGCAGUGCGUGGCACGAACACGAGGAAGAGGCAGACACGGGUAGCCACGUGCGGUAAGAACGGCGGACCACAAGCAUGAUCCACCACUCUGCUGGAGAAGGAAGUCGGAUGGAGUAUUCAGCGAGCCUCUGGCAGACGGUGGACUGAGAGCAGGCGGCUUGCCUUUCCAUUACACGCACAGGCAAGUAACCGGGUACAAAGAGAGAGGAAGAGGGCCAUGAAUCAAAAGAUCUGCACCAUCUCCAGGUCUGGACUUGCGGUACAAUGACAUCAUGAUUGACAAGAUUGCAGCGACACCUCAAAAAAUACAUAUCAACCAACUUAUCCCUUCGAACAAAAUGAACAUUUUGUGUUUUGUUUGGCCGGGAGCUGAUUGUCUUGUUCAUUGCUGUUAAUAUCAACGCAGCAAAAUGUGGAGACGGAAAGCUUUUCACCUCGAGCAGAUUAUUAAAACUCUCCGCAGAGGGGAGGUAGCUACCACUCCGAUGAUUAUUAAGAGCUAUAAAUUAGGCUGUUGUCACUUCAAUCUGUUCUCAGCAGACAAGGACAGAGUCCAAAAUUCUGCUUGGAAUUCACAGAUGUCAUAAGAGACAGA